rnacentral:rRNA from 1 species
GAUGAACGCUGGCGGCGUGCCUAAUACAUGCAAGUCGAGCGAACAGACGAAGAGCUUGCUCCUUUGACGUUAGCGGCGGACGGGUGAGUAACACAUAGGUAACCUACCUAUAAGACUGGGAUAACUUCGGGAAACCGGAGCUAAUACCGGAUAAUAUUUCGAACCGCAUGGUUCGAUAGUGAAAGAUGGCUUUGCUAUCACUUAUAGAUGGACCUGCGCCGUAUUAGCUAGUUGGUAAGGUAACGGCUUACCAAGGCAACGAUACGUAGCCGACCUGAGAGGGUGAUCGGCCACACUGGAACUGAGACACGGUCCAGACUCCUACGGGAGGCAGCAGUAGGGAAUCUUCCGCAAUGGGCGAAAGCCUGACGGAGCAACGCCGCGUGAGUGAUGAAGGUCUUCGGAUCGUAAAACUCUGUUAUUAGGGAAGAACAAACGUGUAAGUAACUGUGCACGUCCUGACGGUACCUAAUCAGAAAGCCACGGCUAACUACGUG